rnacentral:rRNA from 1 species
GACGAACGCUGGCGGCGUGCCUAAUACAUGCAAGUCGAGCGCAGGAACUCAUCCGUUCCCUUCGGGGGGACGUUGACGGACUGAGCAGCAAACCGGUGAUUAACUCCUUAAGAGCCUGCCCUCACGUCUGGGAUCACCACCUGAAACCGGAGCUAAUACCGAAUCGCUCGUCGCACCACAUGGUCCGGGGUUGGCUGUCGCUCCUGCGUCGCCUCGGGCUGCCUUUGCGCUGCAUUAGCUAGUUGGUUUGGUAAUGGCCCACCAAGGCGACGAUGCAUAGCCGACCUGAGAGGGUGAUCGGCCACACUGGGACUGAGACACGGCCCAGACUCCUACGGGAGGCAGCAGUAGGGAAUCUUCCACAAUGGACGAAAGCCUGACGGGGCAACGCCGCGUGAGUGAUGAAGGCCCUCGGAUCGUAAAGUUCUGUUGUAAGGGAAGAACAAGUGUCGAAGGCAAUGGGGGCGUCUUGACGGUACCUUGCGAGAAAGCCACGGCUAACUACGUG